rnacentral:rRNA from 1 species
GAUGAACGCUGGCGGCGUGCCUAAUACAUGCGAGUCGAGCGAACAGACGAGGAGCUUGCUCCUCUGACGUUAGCGGCGGACGGGUGAGUAACACGUGGAUAACCUACCUAUAAGACUGGGAUAACUUCGGGAAACCGGAGCUAAUACCGGAUAAUAUAUUGAACCGCAUGGUUCAAUAGUGAAAGACGGUUUUGCUGUCACUUAUAGAUGGAUCCGCGCCGCAUUAGCUAGUUGGUAAGGUAACGGCUUACCAAGGCAACGAUGCGUAGCCGACCUGAGAGGGUGAUCGGCCACACUGGAACGGAGACACGGUCCAGACUCCUACGGGAGGCAGCAGUAGGGAAUCUGCCGCAAUGGGCGAAAGCCUGACGGAGCAACGCCGAGUGAGUGAUGAAGGUCUUCGGAUCGUAAAACUCUGUUAUUAGGGAAGAACAAAUGUGUAAGUAACUAUGCACGUCUUGACGGUACCUAAUCAGAAAGCCACGGCUAACUACGUG